rnacentral:rRNA from 1 species
UACAGAGGCCUCAAGCGUUGUUCGGAUUCAUUGGGCGUAAAGGGUGCGUAGGUGGCGCCAUAAGUCAGGUGUGAAAUCUCGGGGCUCAACCCCGAAACUGCACUUGAUACUGUGGUGCUCGAGUACUGGAGAGGAGAUUGGAAUUUACGGUGUAGCAGUGAAAUGCGUAGAUAUCGUAAGGAAGACCAGUGGCGAAGGCGAAUCUCUGGACAGUUACUGACACUGAGGCACGAAGGCCAGGGGAGCAAACGGG